UGGCCUCACCCCACCCCUCCCCCGGCCCCAGCCUCAGGUGCUGCACAUGGGACUGACACAGCUCUCAAUCCACACAGGGAUUCUGGCCCAGACCGGAGCAGCCCAGACUCUGAAGAUCAGAUCCAGUACACCGUGGUCACCGGAGCCCACGCUGACCAGCAGCCCAGACUGGACGGGGACGUGGCUGUGACGUACGCGGUGGUAGGAAAAGG